AAAUCAACAAUUCUAACUUUUUCAACGUUGAUUUAACAUCGUGUGCUAUCUGGGCAGUGAUUAACACAAAUAGGUGGUGGCCAUUUCAAAGAGUGAGUGACUUCACAGGUGUUUGUUUUGAUUUAUUUGCUUUGGAGCCUACCAUCCAGGACCUGGUCGUACCCACCGUUUUGACUUCCAAUGAUUCACGUCCUGCUAAAGAGCCCCAUGGCGGUUGAAGAAAAAUCCACAGAAAAGCCCACCAGGCUAUAAACCGCAUGGUUUGAAGCGUGGGAAAAAAGUAACAGCUUAUAGUCAAAAAAAUAUGGAAUUCUGAUUUUAGUGCCUCACACUGCAAAGGGGUCAACAUACCCACCUGGCAUGCACCUGUUCAAACAUGCAAACAAAAAUAUAUCACCACAACUGCAACAUACACCCAGGAGAGAACCAUCACCAAGCCCAGCUCCUUCACCACCCAACAAACCCAAAGUCCAGCAACUCAAUUCUGAAAAGUAAUGGAAACAAUCCACAACAGACGCUGCAACCCCCAUGACCUCGCCCGCCUCUGCAAAGGCAGCAAUUCCUGUCCACCUGUCCACACGCCAGAUACCUCCAGAUGAGCUGACCAACCACCCCAAGCGAAGAACAACCCACCAGCUGACUCAACACAAGUUGAACUCUGCUGCCCCAGAUUACACAGAGCCAAAGGAAAAAGCAGCGGUGGAAGGCUGGCACACCACGCCAGAGAGGCAUUCCCAUAGAGCAUCAGAAGGUUUAAACCUCUAAGCAUUGUAGCAGAACAAACUGACUAGAUCUUGCAUUAGGCCCACAACAAGCAAGAAAUGGCCUUACAAUGGUGACAUCAAAAUUUAAAUGUGAUACAUUGCUUUCAGUUCAGUGUCCAUAUUCUUAAAAAAAAAAGUCAAAAUACCUUCACGUGUCUAAUGGCACUGAUUUUGAAAAAUACAAAUCAUGUGCUUAAUUAAUAGAAGUAAUUUUGCCAGUUGAAAGCGGGUUGGAUAGUUGGGAAUUAAAAUCAUUUUUGACUUCCAUCUGUUUAACAAAUACAUCAGCUAGACCACAUGGUCCUUAUACCAACUCUUCUUGAACCAAUCACCUGAGAACUUGGAUGAAUAGUCUAUCCUUCAUUGCCCCUGACAAUAGUCCUAUUUGCUGACAACAGUUGUCACAAAAAUAUCUUAAAAUGCAUGCAGAAUGAACCCCACUAAUUAAUAACGUGACCAAAAAUAGAUAAAUAAAUAAAACAUAAAACUUA